GGUGUUUGUGGUGGAAUUGGUAGACACGCCUAACUGUGGAUUAGGUGGGAGAAAUCCCUUGCAGGUUCAAAUCCUGUCAUUCACCC
rnacentral:tRNA from 1 species